rnacentral:rRNA from 1 species
GACAGAGGGUGCAAACGUUGUUCGGAAUUACUAGGCGUAAAGCGCGUGUAGGCGGCUUCGCAAGUCGGGUGUGAAAUCCCACGGCUCAACCGUGGAAGUGCAUUCGAAACUGCGAGGCUAGAGUCCUGGAGAGGAAGGUGGAAUGCUUGGUGUAGAGGUGAAAUUCGUAGAUAUCAAGCGGAACACCGGUGGCGAAGGCGGCCUUCUGGACAGUGACUGACGCUGAGACGCGAAAGCGUGGGGAGCAAACAGG